rnacentral:lncRNA from 1 species
CGGGGGACGCUGAGGGGACUCAUGCGGCGGGUGCUGAAGGACGUGGGGCGCUGAGGGGAUGCAUGCGCGGGGCAGUGAGGGACAUGGGGACGCUGAGGCAGCGCACGCGGGCCACCAUCGGCCAAGGAUGAGACCAUUAGAACAUCUGCAAUGGGUUGAAACGCCUCGAAUGCAGUAAGAUCCAGGAGUUAUAACGAUACUAAAAAUAGCAACAAUGACCCAAGUCACCUUUGGACAUGCUAAAAACCAGCGGUACCUCAGGAUGACCAAAUAGUUGAUGAGAAAAAAUCCCUCUUCAGAAAAGUAUUACAGCUCACAGGUGAAGAAAGGAGACACAGAAUCGGAGCAUCUUCCCUCCGAAGCCCCACAAUGGAAUCACCGGUGCAGGGAGAUGGCCAGGCCUGCGGCACCCGAGAGAGGCCGUCUGACCCGGGUCCUCUGUGCAGGCAGAGCCCCCUCCGGUGUUGUGUUCCCGCCAAAACUGGCCGCGAAUCGCAGAUGAUGAUGCCGGGAUCCGCGCCCUUGCAGGAGAGACGGGGGUGUGGGGAGGAUGCCGGCAGCUCAGGGCACAGUCCAGACCUGGGGACACCACGGGACAAAAGACAAGUCACGAGAGGAAGAAGCGGAGAGAACCAAGGAUUUUUUCCUGGUUGGAAAAAACAGAGUCUUAAAAAUCCUGUGGGAUGCCAGGGAGUCCUGGGCGCUGAUAUCUGGUGGCAUUAAGGAGUCACCAUCAAUUAUUUUAGGCAUAAAUACAGAACUGGGGUUGGGUGGGGUGUUUGGUUCUUAUCUUUGAGAAUACUUUCUGAAGUGUUUAUGGAUAAAAUAAUAUGAUGUCUGGAACUGUUUUAAAAUAGCCCAGUGAGGAAGCGGGUGGGGUGCUGGCCUUGGCAGGAACACGGGGCCAUUGUGCUGGUCUCUCGCGUUGUGUUGGAACUCACUAUAAACAGCACCAGCGAGGGACGGCAGCCUGCCCUGUGCCUGCCCUGAGGUCACUCUCACUGUGAACUCGGCUCCCUCCAGCCCAGCUCUCACAGGGUCACAGGUGGUGGCUUCAGCCAAUGUCCUGUGCAGGCUUCUUCCUGAAGGAACACAGAGUCCUGAGAGUGGGAUUUCCUGUGGUGAUUCUUCGGUCUCAGAGUCCCGAGGGACACGCGUGUUUGAGAAUCUUCUCCAUGUCCAUCUGGAUGAUCUUCGCCUUCAUUCUCCUCUCCUAUUAAAUGGAGGCCAUCAGCACACUUAGACACGCCUGCCAGCUUUAAGAGUUUAGAGCUAAACAAAUGAAGCACACAGUGCACUUCAAAGACUUCGAGAGGAAGGCUCAGUGUGCACAGAGGCCCCAGGAACCCUGAGCUUCCCCAGGAUGCCCAUCCUGAGCCCUCGGGGGCCAUCUAACCCACUCAAACUCCAAACACUAGUCUCUCCCCCAUCACAAGGAAAGACAGGCAUGGUCCCCCACCCAUCAGCGGUGUUGCUGAAUCUGGCAGCCACUGUGUUUGUCAGACCUGCCUGCCUUGUUCAGCAGGGAAACCACUUGCUAUGAUGAAUGGAGCUGCAUGUGAAACUUAGAUAAGCAGGCAGGUCGAAAACACCUCCUGUGCCAGCAUUCCAGUUUUCUUGCUUGGCCCAAGAACCUGGUUUCAUUUUGGAAGGUGGAGGGAGUGUGUGGCGACCUUGUUGCCAUUUUCAGGCAUGGCUGGGCUCUCACACAGUCACUCUUAGAACAGACAUGUCCCUGCCUGGAGGCCAGGCCCUCUUGGGUUGUGGGAACCAAGCCCAAAAAUGUCAAACAAGUGGCAAAACCUUUAGGGUAAUUUUCCUCUAACUCAAAAAACACCUGGCCGCUUCUCCUCCCCAGAUGUUAAAGGUCCUUUUAUUAGCAUUGUCCUAUUGUGUUUUUUUCAUUUCUCAGACACAGACACAGGAAGCAUCAACUCUGAGGCUUUGGCCAGGAUGUGAGCCCGACUUUCGCAGCCCCAACUGGCAGGCUGACCUCAUGUGAACUCCCUGGCGAUGGCAUCCUGGAGACACCCACAUGGCUGAGCUGGCACCAUAGGGUGAGGGCACCAGGGCCAUGGGGACCGUGGUUGCUUGCCUCAGACAUGGCCAGCAAGGGAGGCACAACAUGGGGCUGUUGAGUGAAUGUGUGAGAGGCUGUGGGUCCCCACAGUCCAGCCACCAGCGGCCUCGCAGCAUCAUAGGAGUCUGAGGUCCAAGACACCGGACUCACAUCUCAACCCUGCCCUGUGCUGCUCAGGGCCAAGUCUAAGCUGCUGUGACAAAGAGGCCCCCACAUGCAGCAGCUGCCACAGAACACGGUCAUCUGUUUUUCAUGCACGCUGUAGCCCUGGUCAUUCCAGCCAGAGCCUCCAGGUUUUGUUGCUCUUCCAGGGCACGUUCUGGGCUGUGUGAUGGAGGCUGGACUGUGGGCUCCUCUGAGGAGGUAGAGGGAUGCGCACCAGGGCCCCCGUGUUGAGGCUCGGCUCCCACCCCAUCACCUCUACUCUAGUGAGGCCACUUCCUGCGAAGGUAGCUGGAUGCUCCUGCCUGGAGCUGCCCCCGGACCACAGAGCAUCCAGGAGAUGAAUGCACUUCCAGCCCCGCCACCCUGGGGAGAUAUACAGCUGAGGUGGCAGCUUUGGAGCAAGCAGGGCAGAGAUGCUUCCCCCUGAGGUCCCUCCCAGCUCUGCUACCUUGUCACUCAAGCACUCAUAAUCCAGGUUCAGUUUCUGCCAGCACUAAUUUGGUUUAUUCCACAUGGCUGGAGCCACUGCGGGACUCCAUUUGUUCCGGGGCCACCUUCCUGUCACCUUUUACUGUUUCUUGAGUCAGCAAGAAAGGCAGAUCCGACUGAAGACUCCAGCACUCUCCUCAGCUGCAGCCCCCACAGAGCUCCGCGAAGUCCUUUCUCCCACAGGACAGAUCUGAGGCACCCACCAUUAGAAGAAAGGAGUGGAGAAAUGAUAUGCAGGAAGAAGGCCCAUUCUGAUUCACCAAUCGCAUGGACGCACUUUCCUACCAGGCUAGGAGGGAGGAAAGUAGAGCCCCACCCUGACUGCUAAGCCGUUUGCUUUGGUGUCAUGAAAAAAGAGUUCAGCUUCCCAAAUCAGAGAGGAAAAGGUUUUCAAGGGGUCCCCUAUUUCUAUUAUGUAAGCUUUAAAUGACAAAGUGGACCUCUGGGGCCAACGUGGGUGUGUGAUGGUGGUUUUGUGGGAUUCUCCCCAUAGCCCCAUCAGACGGCCUCACCUUCUGGGUCUCAGUGGCCCCAGGUGCAACACGGCUCCUCCAGAAAUGAUGACAGCCCUGGCGACCAAGGACUCCCUGUGCCACUGGGUUUGCGCUCAGAAGUAUAUUCAAUGAUUUCCCCAGAAAAUUCCAAGUCAUCUCCUAAUACUGUUUGUGAAAACUAAA